UACGGAGGGUGCAAGCGUUGUUCGGAAUUAUUGGGCGUAAAGCGCGUGUAGGCGGACUGCUAAGUCUGGUGUGAAAUCCCUCGGCUUAACUGAGGACGUGCAUUGGAUACUGGCAGCCUUGAAUCCUGGAGAGGGUAGCGGAAUUCCCAGUGUAGAGGUGAAAUUCGUAGAUAUUGGGAGGAACACCAGUGGCGAAGGCGGCUACCUGGACAGUGAUUGACGCUGAGACGCGAAAGCACGGGUAGCAAACAGG
rnacentral:rRNA from 1 species